rnacentral:rRNA from 1 species
UACGAAGGGGGCUAGCGUUGUUCGGAAUCACUGGGCGUAAAGGGCGCGUAGGCGGCCGAUCAAGUCGGGGGUGAAAGCCUGUGGCUCAACCACAGAAUGGCCUCGAUACUGGUUGGCUCGAGACCGGAAGAGGUGAGUGGAACUGCGAGUGUAGAGGUGAAAUUCGUAGAUAUUCGCAAGAACACCAGUGGCGAAGGCGGCUAACUGGUCCGGUUCUGACGCUGAGGCGCGAAAAGCGUGGGGAGCAAACAGG